UACGAAGGGGGCUAGCGUUGCUCGGAAUCACUGGGCGUAAAGCGCACGUAGGCGGCUUUUUAAGUCAGGGGUGAAAUCCUGGAGCUCAACUCCAGAACUGCCUUUGAUACUGAGAAGCUUGAGUCCGGGAGAGGUGAGUGGAACUGCGAGUGUAGAGGUGAAAUUCGUAGAUAUUCGCAAGAACACCAAUGGCGAAGGCAGCUCGCUGGACGGUACGUGACGCUGAGCGCGAAAGCGUGGGGAGCAAACAGGG
rnacentral:rRNA from 1 species